CAUAUUUUUCCAAUAUAAUUUGGUGGUUGUGGAUUUAGAUGAACCAUAAAUCCUUUGAUGGAAUUUGUUUGAACAGGACACUGUAUUUGAUUCAGUAUCUGUUACUUGUGGGCAUAUCUUCUGCUACGUGUGUGCUUGCAAAUCUGGAUCGGUGACAAUUGUUCAUGGAUUACAAGCAGCAAAAUCGACAGCAAAAUGCCCUCUUUGGCGAGAGAUAUUUCCUAAGUGUUUUUGGUUCCCGCUGCAACGCGCCGACUCCCCACUAGUGUUUUAUUAUCAUCCCCUCUACUUUUCACAUGGUAUGAUUAUAAUUUAUGAGUUAAUUACGUUUUUCGUCCCUGUAGUUUGUCAAAAAUCAUUAUUUUAUUCCAUUAGUUUAAUAAUUUUUAAAACAAAAUCUAUGUGGUUUCAUUUUCGUAACUAGUACAGUUCACCCUCACUAACGCCAUCCAAUUAUUUUGUUAUUUUAUUUGACUUGACCAUAAUGCCCCUUUUAUUAAAAAAUAAAAUUAAAAUAAAUAUUUUCGUCCCUGUGGUUUGUCAAAAAUCACUAUUUUAUUCCAUUAGUUUAAUAAUUUCUAAAACAAUCCAUGUGGUUUCAUUUUCGUAACUAUUACAGUCCACCCUCACUAACGCCAUCCAAUUAUUCUGGUAUUUUAUUUGAAAUGACCAUAAUGCCCCUUUAUUAAAAAUAAAAUUAAAAUAAAUUAAGUGUUAGUUAUGUUUUCCGUCGCUAUGGUUUGUCAAAAAUAAACAUUACAGUCCAUGAGUUUUAGAUAUUGCCAAAACACCUCAUUGUAAUGUUUUGACAAUUUUUAGAACUAAUAGAUUGUAAUGGUUAAUUUUAAUAAACUACGGGGACGAAAAACGUAACUAACUCUUUAUUAUUUUAAUUUUAAGCAAUAAUGGAAUUUAAUAAUCCCAACUUUCACCAGUUGGCCGGCAACGGACCCAACUUUAAAAAUAACCACUGACAGUCCCACCUUUUUACAUUUUGUAAAACAUUGGACCUUUGCUAACAGUGUUAUAACGUUGAUGACGUGGCAUGAUGUCAUGUCAUAAAUUUUAAAUUGGGAUGAUUACAUGGCAAGUUGGCUGAUUAUGUGGGCCUGAACUUGAAUAUGUGGCAUUUAUAAUAACAUUUUUAUUUUAUAUCUUUCCUGCCAUCAUAUAUAAUCCAAUUAAACCUUAAAAUCUAUAACAAACAUAAGAUGGAACUCAGCUGCUCAUCGUCUUGAACCUCUGGUACCCAGAAAAACCCUAGAAAGUUCAAAGUCGAUAGAGACAGAAAUGUGUACUGCAAUCACGAUAUCCUAGCCAUAUCUAGGGUUGUUGAACGAAGAAGUGCUCGAAGUGGGGAAGCAUUUUAUGGUUGUGCUUUAUGGCCUGUAAGUUAGCAUGUUAAAUUAGGAUUUUUGGUUGUAAUUCACGUUUAACUUGGUUAUUUAUCUUCUGAUAGAAACAAGACUGCAAAUUUUUCAUUUGGAAAUCUGACAUCGAAGCAUUCUGUAUUGAACAUGGAAGAAAUGAACAAGAAUUGGUGAUUGAGAAUCUCAAAUUGCAGGAAGAGAACAAGAUGUUGAAACAGCAACUUGCAAAUAAAAAAUCGACUUGGAAGAAUCUGCUUUGUUUGGCCAUUGUUGUGAUAGGAAGUUAUCCGAUAAACGGUUGGCAAUUGUUAGUAUUUUCUGUUAGGAAAUGGGAAUCCCUGGUAAUGUAUGCACUGUUUGUAUUAUGUGGCUGUUGCCUAAUGAUUUUGUAAUGCUAGUUAUUUUGGCUGUUGCCACUAGUAUUUUGUGGCUGUUCGGAACACAUUCAAACCAACAUUACAAAUGUUCAUACACACUA